CCUACGGGAGGCAGCAGUGAGGAAUAUUGGUCAAUGGACGAGAGUCUGAACCAGCCAAGUAGCGUGAAGGAUGACUGCCCUAUGGGUUGUAAACUUCUUUUAUAUGGGAAUAAAACGUUCCACGUGUGGGAUUUUGUAUGUACCAUAUGAAUAAGGAUCGGCUAACUCCGUGCCAGCAGCCGCGGUAAUACGGAGGAUCCGAGCGUUAUCCGGAUUUAUUGGGGUUAAAGGGAGCGUAGGUGGAUUGUUAAGUCAGUUGUGAAAGUUUGCGGCUCAACCGUAAAAUUGCAGUUGAAACUGGCAGUCUUGAGUAAAGUAGAGGUAGGCGGAAUUCGUGGUGUAGCGGUGAAAUGCGUAGAUAUCACGAAGAACUCCGAUGGCGAAGGCAGUUCACUGGACUGUAACUGACACUGAGGCUCGAAAGUGUGGGUAUCAAACAGGAUUAGAUACCCGAGUAGUC
rnacentral:rRNA from 1 species